CCGCUUCUCAAUUCUAUUUUCAAUUUCUUCCCAGUCCUUAUUACUCAAUUUUCGUGAGGACAUUGGUAAGCCUAGGUAACGAAAUGGGAGCCUGCCUACAUCACACCCAAAGAGUUGUGUGUAGUAUUGCUCGUGUUACCUGCCUUCUCAAAACAAAACAGUUCGCUCUUGUGGAAGUUAAUCUUAAGACCUGAUAAUUUUUCAAAUGUGGUCAGUAUCAAUUUCAUAUUGAUAGCCUUCUGAAAAUCACGACUCAUAAAGAUAACCAUGUCAUCGACAUAUUGCAAGAUGGAUAACCCAUCUUGGAUUAGAUGCGGGAUGACGCCUUCCACUGGUCGACUCGUUUCACUCUGUUG
rnacentral:lncRNA from 1 species